rnacentral:rRNA from 1 species
UGUGGUUACAAUAGCAGAGAGGAUACACCUGUUCCCAUUCCGAACACAGAAGUUAAGCUCUCUAGCGCUGAUGGUACUUGGUGGGAAACUGCCU